GCGAGCGAAAAGUGGAGGUGACAGUUAAGGCUGCAUCUUGACACGGAAUUAAGGAAGGGAGGAAGCAAGCAAAUGAAGAAAGAUAGUUGAAAAAGAGACGACUAGUAGCAGUAACAGUAGACAGGACAAUAAUAAGGAGACUGUCUAGCAAGUAGCUUCAGACAGGAAGGAGGAAGACAGCAAAUGAAUGGCGAGAUUCUGUACCAUGGUACACCCUCUAUUUAUUUAUUGAUUUAUUUGCCUUACAAAUCUCUGCUUUCUUUUCUCUUGUUUUCUUUUUGUUGAGGGAUGAUAUUUUCGCUCUUGUGCGAACAUAAUAGUAUCAAGAUAAGAAAUACACAUCAUUUUUGGAGGAGGCAAAACAUAUCUUUUAUCGAGAGGUUUGAUAGAAUUUGACCGUACAAUGCGACAGUUUUUCUUCGUUUUAACUGAUAAAAUCUGUUCAUCAUGAUUUCUCUUUCAUUUACUGAGCAAAACACAAACUAAGAAGUUACAAGAAAAGCAGGCGGUCAAUUAGUUAAGAUGGUAAAGAUCGAUCUGGAUAACGGGCUAGGUUUAGUUUUUCCGAUGCUGACACGCCUAAUCAAAGCAAAACUGGAAGAGUGCGCCAUCUUGCAGGUGAGCAUAGAAGAAGCACUUAAGAGGGGAGCAUGGAAUCUGGAUUAAUGGCUGGUUUAGAGUGAAGCUUUGAUGAUAGCAUAUACCUCAACUACUGUACAGCACACAAGUGACUAUUCUUGUCCCUUUCGUAUCCGUGUAUAUAUAUAUAUAUUGAUGCAGUAGUUUAACUAAUCUUAGUUGAUUGUUUAUUUUGAUGAUGUGGUGAGAUCGAAGCCUUGAUCUGAAUCUAAAAAUAUUGGCUUAUAAUUUUAAGGAUUCCUAAAACA